AAGAGUUUGAAACAUGGCUCAGAUUGAUCGAUAGCGGGAUGUAGUAACACAUGCAAGUCGAAGGGCAGCACGAGAGAGCUUGCUCUCUUGGUGGCGAGUGGCGGACGGGUGAGUAGUAUAUCGGCACGUGCCCAGUAGCGGGGGAUAACUACUCGAAAGAGUGGCUAAUACCGCAUACGCCCUACGGGGGAAAGGGGGGGAUCGCAAGACCUCUCACUAUUGGAGCAGCCGAUAUCGGAUUAUCUAGUUGGUGGGGUAAAGGCUCUCCAAGGCAAGGAUCCGUAGCUGGCUUGAGAGGACGACCAGCCACACUGGGAGUGAGGCGCGGCCCACCCUCCUGCGGGAGGCAGCAGUGGGGAAUUUUGGACAAUGGGGGAAACCCUGAUCCAGCCAUCCCGCGUGUAUGAUGAAGGCCUUCGGGUUGUAAAGUACUUUUGGCCGAGAAGAAAAGGCAUCCCCUUCUACGGGAUGCUGCUGACGGUAUCUGCAGAAUAAGCACCGGCUAACUACGUGCCAGCAGCCGCGGUAAUACGUAGGGUGCAAGCGUUAAUCGGAAUUUCUGGGCGUAAAGCGUGUGUAGGCGGUUCGGAAAGAAAGAUGUGAAAUCCCAGGGCUCAACCUUGGAACUGCAUUUUUAACUGCCGAGCUAGAGUAUGUCAGAGGGGGGUAGAAUUCCACGUGUAGCAGUGAAAUGCGUAGAUAUGUGGAGGAAUACCGAUGGCGAAGGCAGCCCCCUGGGAUAAUACUGACGCUCAGACACGAAAGCGUGGGGAGCAAACAGGAUUAGAUACCCUGGUAGUCCACGCCCUAAACGAUGUCAACUAGCUGUUGGGGCCGUUAGGCCUUAGUAGCGCAGCUAACGCGUGAAGUGUCCGCCUUGGC
rnacentral:rRNA from 1 species